GGUAAAAUGCUGACAGUUGUCACCCCACUGAUUUCCCAGGUUUAUUUGGCUGAUAUGGCUGGCUAGACAGAUGUCCCGCUCCAAGUUUGUUCCUCUCAAAGCUGUAGACUUGGUCAAAACCAAUAACUUUCACUAAUAAUAAUGUUCUGUAGUCAAGGAUCUGAGAGAAUGCAAGGAAGACUCUUCUGGGUAAGAGUCAAUAGGAAUGUAUCU
rnacentral:sRNA from 1 species